CCUACGGGAGGCAGCAGUGGGGAAUCUUGCGCAAUGGGCGAAAGCCUGACGCAGCCAUGCCGCGUGAAUGAUGAAGGUCUUAGGAUUGUAAAAUUCUUUCACCGGGGACGAUAAUGACGGUACCCGGAGAAGAAGCCCCGGCUAACUUCGUGCCAGCAGCCGCGGUAAUACGAAGGGGGCUAGCGUUGCUCGGAAUUACUGGGCGUAAAGGGAGCGUAGGCGGAUAGUUUAGUCAGAGGUGAAAGCCCAGGGCUCAACCUUGGAAUUGCCUUUGAUACUGGCUAUCUUGAGUAUGGGAGAGGUAUGCGGAACUCCGAGUGUAGAGGUGAAAUUCGUAGAUAUUCGGAAGAACACCAGUGGCGAAGGCGGCAUACUGGCCCAUUACUGACGCUGAGGCUCGAAAGCGUGGGGAGCAAACAGGAUUAGAUACCCUGGUAGUCCACGCUGUAAACGAUGAGUGCUAGUUGUCGGCAUGCAUGCAUGUCGGUGACGCAGCUAACGCAUUAAGCACUCCGCCUGGGGAGUACGGUCGCAAGAUUAAAACUCAAAAGGAAUUGACGG
rnacentral:rRNA from 1 species